CAUGCUUUGCAGAGGCUCCCGCGUCGCUCUCAUUGCUCGUCCCAGCCUCUUGCCGCACGGAGCCUCUGCUUGUCCGCUGCCACUCCGAAAGGAACCGGGAAUACAAGCGACUGCCUCCGCGAUGUAAUGAUCUGCAGUGAGGUGUUAAUGCUUGAGUGAAGUGAAAAUACAGCAGAGCACGGAUACGUAUCAGAGCGCCGUGUUCUGGGUUCCACCAUAUGGCGUGCACCAUAUCAUGGUGCACUGUGGGCUAAUGGAGGACUUUUAAACUUUCUGCAGUUUUGGACAAAUCAGUCGACGGGAAGCAUCACGCCGAGCUCUUUUGCGCCUGCACAGGCGGCCUGGAAUUUAUCAUCACUUUGGCCCAAAAUCUCACUGCUGUGUUGCGUUUAAGUUAUUCCUGUAAACUAUAACCUCUUGUUCCUCAAAUUUAAUGUUGUGGAUUAUUUAAUUUUGUACAUAAUACGGUAGACCUGCACAGCCACCAGGAGAGGAUUGGAUCUCUUUGGACCCGUUCUUGGGAUUUGUUUUCUAAAUUUUUGACCAUAAUUGUCACACACCACGGGCCUCGAGGGCUACACAAGCAUAUGAUUUAUAUGUGUAAAAACAGGUUUGACAGAAAGGUAUACGACGCCUGCUUCCCACAGUAGAGUGAAUGCAGUCGGACACACACGACACAUGCACACACACUUGCGCACGCAACCACGCACAUACGAGCGGGAUGCGUCUCUCCGUGUUCACAGCGGACCUUGAUUUAAUGUCUUACAAUUAAGGCACGCGGUGAAUGCCAAGAGAUGAUCCUUCUUUCUUCGGAUGUCUGCAGAGCCAAUAAACACGUGACAUUUAGAGAGUAGCCUAUCGGUGUGGUUUCCUCAGUGAAGGUUUGCUUCUGUCACGCAUGACUGUCUCCUUCCCCCUCUCCACCAAAAAUAAAGUAAAUACACACAACCAC